rnacentral:rRNA from 1 species
CCUACGGGAGGCAGCAGUGGGGAAUAUUGCACAAUGGGCGAAACCCUGAUGCAGCGACGCCGCGUGAGCGAAGAAGUCUCUCGGUAUUUAAAGCUCCUUCAGCAGGGAAGAAAAUGACGGUACCUGAGUAAGAAGCCCCGGCUAAAUACGUGCCAGCAGCCGCGGUAACAAGGAUGGAGCAAGCGUUAUCCGGAUUUACUGGGCGUAAAGGGAGCGUAGGCGGGCUGCCAAGUCGGGUGUGAAAUACCGGGGCUCAACCCGGGGGCUGCAGUGGAAACUGGCGGGCUGGAGUGCGGGAGAGGCAGGCGGAAUGCGUGGUGUAGCGGUGAAAUGCGUAGAUAUGAGGAGGAACACCGAUGGCGAAGGCAGCCUGCUGGACGGUGACUGACGCUGAGGCUCGAAAGCGUGGGGAGCGAACAGGAUUAGAUACCCUAGUAGUC